rnacentral:rRNA from 1 species
GACGAACGCUGGCGGCGUGCCUAAUACAUGCAAGUAGGACGCAGUUGCGAACGGGUGAGUAACGCGUAGGUAACCACCUAUUAGAGGGGGAUAACUAUUGGAAACGAUAGCCAAUACCGCAUACUAGUAGAUGGACCUGCGUUGUAUUAGCUAGUAGGUAGGGUAAUGGCCUAACAAGGCAACGAUUCAUAGCCGAACUGAGAGGGGGAUCGGCCACACUUGGACUGAGACACGGGCCAGACUCCGUCGGGAGGCAGCAGUAGGGAAUAGUCGGCAAUGGGGGGAACCCUGACCGAGCAACGCCGCGUGAGUGAUGAAGGUUGUCGGAUCGUAAAGCUCGGUUGUUAAGGAAGCGGUACUUAACCAGAAAGGGACGGCUAACUACGUGCCAGCAGCCGCGGUAAUAC